UCGGCCAAGGACCCUGCCGCAACCUGAACCGCCAAGGAGGGAGGAGUAGCCCGGAGAUCGGCCUCCAAUUGGGACCAUCGACUCCAUCGCUGGAGGGCCUCAAGGAGGAGCAGACCUUCCACGACCAUGGAACUCGAAAAACCUGUAAAGGUAUCGCUUACGACUUUGCCCUGAAUAUAAAUUUCUUUCGACUUUGCAUGCUCCUCCCAUUUGGCAUGGAUUUGUUACGACUAGGGAUAACCCUUUCAAACAAUUAAAAUAAGCUUAUGUUACGAACGGGAGGAGAACCUCAUCCUAACAUAACUAAAAUAAAAGUCCGAUUAUUUGGAGAUCGGAUUGUGGGAGAGG
rnacentral:lncRNA from 1 species